GUUACAUGCAUGCAUACUUAAUUGCAUAUCAAAACCACUCGCUUCUGUCCCUGCAUACUCGCUCACCUGCCCACAACCAACACGAGGAAAGAACUGAUAGGAAGAUUGGUAACAAGAAGAUUGACAUUGAACACGGUCAAACUUUAUUCGCAAGAUCAUCCAAGCCAAGAAUACUUACUACAACCAUAAUCAAAACACCACCAAUCUCAUUUCUAUAUAUUUCGCUAGGUGCAACCCCAAAAUUCUAAAUUGUAAGCCGAUCAUACCAGGCGAGACGGCCAAUCCGGUUUUGCUCAAAAAUUUCAAUCAUAAACUAU